CGGACGGGUGAGGAAUACAUCGGAAUCUACCUUGUCGUGGGGGAUAACGUAGGGAAACUUACGCUAAUACCGCAUACGACCUUCGGGUGAAAGUAGGGGAUCGCAAGACCUUACGCGAUUAGAUGAGCCGAUGUCGGAUUAGCUUGUUGGCGGGGUAAAAGCCCACCAAGGCGACGAUCCGUAGCUGGUCUGAGAGGAUGAUCAGCCACACUGGAACUGAGACACGGUCCAGACUCCUACGGGAGGCAGCAGUGGGGAAUAUUGGACAAUGGGCGCAAGCCUGAUCCAGCCAUACCGCGUGAGUGAAGAAGGCCUUCGGGUUGUAAAGCUCUUUUGUUGGGAAAGAAAUCCUGUCGGUUAAUACCCGGUAGGGAUGACGGUACCCAAAGAAUAAGCACCGGCUAACUUCGUGCCAGCAGCCGCGGUAAUACGAAGGGUGCAAGCGUUACUCGGAAUUACUGGGCGUAAAGCGUGCGUAGGUGGUUUGUUAAGUCUGAUGUGAAAGCCCUGGGCUCAACCUGGGAAUUGCAUUGGAUACUGGCAGGCUAGAGUGCGGUAGAGGGGUAGUGGAAUUCCCGGUGUAGCAGUGAAAUGCGUAGAGAUCGGGAGGAACAUCUGUGGCGAAGGCGACUACCUGGACCAGCACUGACACUGAGCACGAAAGCGUG
rnacentral:rRNA from 1 species